rnacentral:misc_RNA from 1 species
GGAAGGAUCAUUAACAAACAUUUGAACUAAUAACUAACAGGACUUGAUAGUAGGAGCAAUCCUGCUAUUCCUUGAACUUAACAAUCUAAUCCCAUAAACCAAUCUAUGGUUGACAAAACUUUAAAUUUUCAACGAUGGAUGUCUUGGCUCCCAUAUCGAUGAAGAACGCAGCAAGAAUGCGAUAUGCAAUGUGAAUUGCAGAACCACGAAUCAUCGGAUCUUUGAACGCAACUGGCGCUAGUUUACUAGCAUACUUGUUUCAGUGUGCUUAAACAACUAAACCAACUCAAUGUGAGAGAAUAUCUCUCAUCAAGUACAUGCUCCCUGCAGCAGUCACAUUUAUUUGUGAGCUUCAUGGAAGAAAACCGACUUAUUGUCACCUGAAAUCAAGUAAGAUGACCCGCUGGACUUAAGCAUAUUACUAAGCGGAGGAAAAGAAAUUAACAAAGAUUACCUUAGUAAGGGCUACUGAACCGGUAAAAGCUCGAAAUUGGAAUCGAGGAUUCAAAGAAUCUUCGAAUUGUAAUCAGGUCCGCCGAAAUACGAAAGCUCACUUAAUUAUGUUGAAUCAUAAGCCAAAGAGGGUGAAAGCCCCGUGUAGUGUUCUUUCGAAACAGGGGGAUUAAAAAAGAGUCGGGUUGCUUGGAACUGCAGCCCUAAGUGGGAGAUAUGAAUCUUCCAAAGCUAAAUAAGGAUGGGAGACCGAUAGCGAACAAGUACUGUGAAGGAAAGAUGAAAAGGACUUUGAAAAGAGAGUGAAAAGAUCUGAAAUCGUUGAGAAGGAAGCGGUAGAAACUGAUGGUCGUGCUGAUGGAUAUCGCGGUGAACAACUGCGUCCUUCCUACCAGAGCGACGGGCAAAAUCAAGUUAGAUACAUCAAAAAAGGCUCUGCCGAGUAGGAUGUAACUAGCUUGAGGGACUAAUGUGAUUUUGCCAAAAUGGAUUCUACUGUCCCGUCUUGAAACACGGACCAAGGAGUCUAACCUAUAUGCAAGUGUGCGAGUGGAAAAACUCAUACGCGAAAUGAAAGUGAAAGGUGCGCAGCGCAAGCGGCAGCAUCGACCGACCUAGUAUGAAAGGUUUGAGUAAGAGCAUAUAUGUUAGGACCCGAAAGAUGGUGAACUAUGCCUGAGUAGGGUGAAGUCAGGGGAAACCCUGAUGGAGGCUCGAAGCGUUGUUGACGUGCAAAUCACUCGUCGAACUUGGGUAUAGGGGCGAAAGACUAAUCGAACCAUCUAGUAGCUGGUUCCCUC